UUCAUCAAGUGGUGCGCGAAAAAGUUCAUUACUGCUCCCAAACUUCGCACACAUCAAUCAACCAAAACACCCCUCUCUUUCUCUUGAAUCCAUAUGAAAUCGUAGCCCUUUCUAAGUCCAAGCACAAUUUUUUUGGAGCUUCAUCUUUUGCGAGUUUCACCUUUAGACGAAAAUUACCCAACAUGGUGGAUUAGUCUAACCCUCUCUAACACAGGAUGGUGAAAAUUUUUGUCCUUUUGCUCGGCUGAUUUAGCUGGUGAAUCAAGGUACCGGGAUCAAGAUUCGGGAUUCACAUCUUGCUUGGAUUAUUUGUUGACUUGAAGUUCUCAUUUCUUGUAAAUGUUGGCUUGAAAUGCCAUUUAUAGCUUUAUAUGUCAAAAUGUGUAAAUUUGAUUCUAUUUUUGUAAUGUGUACAUAAGUACACUCUUUACGAUGUAUUUGACAUGUAUGAGAUGAGGCCAUAGGCCAAUGACAUCUAAUUUGUAUCCUAUGUAACUUUUAACUUCAUGAAAUAUUAUGAAAAUAUUGAAAAAUGUCGAGUCAUUG